rfam:Ailuropoda melanoleuca scaffold692_55, whole genome shotgun sequence.
UGGCUCAGUCGGUAGAGCAUGUGAUUUUUGAUCUCAGGGUUGUGAGUUCAAACCCCAC